rnacentral:rRNA from 1 species
ACCCUCGGGUGACAGGGAGACAGGUGGUGCAUGGUUGUCGUCAGCUCGUGUCGUGAGAUGUUGGGUUAAGUCCCGCAACGAGCGCAACCCCUACGUUUAGUUGCUAACGCGUGAAGGCGAGCACUCUAGACGAACUGCCGUUGACAAACGGAGGAAGUGGGAUGACGUCAAAUCAUCAUGCCCCUUAUGUUCUGGGCUACACACGUGCUACAAUGGCCGGUACAGACGGACGCAAAGCCGCGAGGUGGAGCAAAUCCUAAAAAGCCGGUCUCAGUUCGGAUUGCAGGCUGCAAUUCGCCUGCAUGAAGUCGGAAUCGCUAGUAAUCGCAGGUCAGCAUACUGCGGUGAAUACGUUCCCGGGCCUU